rnacentral:rRNA from 1 species
CAGUAGCCACGGGAAUACGAAGGGGACUAGCGUUGUUCGGAAUUACUGGGCGUAAAGCGCACGUAGGCGGACAUUUAAGUCAGGGGUGAAAUCCCGGGGCUCAACCCCGGAACUGCCUUUGAUACUGGGUGUCUAGAGUAUGGAAGAGGUGAGUGGAAUUCCGAGUGUAGAGGUGAAAUUCGUAGAUAUUCGGAGGAACACCAGUGGCGAAGGCGGCUUACUGGUCCAUUACUGACGCUGAGGUGCGAAAGCGUGGGGAGCAAACAGGAUUAGAUACCCCUGUAGUCCCUGUCUCUUAUAC